AUCUAUUCUGAGAAACCCAAGUCUGACUCCAAACAAAAAACAGAAACUGAAGAAAAAAAGGGGAGGGAAACCCCACAAAACCUUAAUCUCCUCCAGAAACCUAGGGAGGGGGAGGAGGUGCAUGCCAAUACUUGUGGCCACACGGAGAGAAGACUUAAAUGGCCCAAGAAAAAAUGUGCCAUUCUAAGUGGAGAAGAAAACAGCUAUUGUCUAACACUUAAAUAAAAAAUACUGUAUAAACAGCUAACAGCUGUUUUUCAGCCUUUGCUUUUUAGAGCAAAAGCCAAUAAAAGAAAAGACAUACUCUUUUAAAUGUGGUUUUUGUUCAGAGUCCAGAUUUUCUUCGACUAAUACCCAACCCAGAAGUAGGACCUGUUUUGGAUCAUUCUGUUCUGAAGAAUAGAGAAAAACUACAAUGUUCAAUAGAGAGACACAGAUCUGGGUGGAGGCCAAGCCAGACAGACUUUGUUGUACCCAGGGGGAAGUACAUCAGAGGGGAUUUUAGUGAUAAAAACAGAAACCAGGAGUUCCCAUUGUGGCUCAGCGGGUGAAGGACCCGACAUUGUCUCUGGGAGGAUGCAGGUUCAAUCCCUGGCCUCACUCAGUGGGUUAAGGAGCCAGUGUUGCCACAAGCUGUGGUGUAGGUCACAGAUGCGGCUUGGAUCCAGUGCUGCCAUGGCUGUGGUGUAGGCCUCAGCCGUGGCUCUGAUUUGACCCUUAGCCUGGGAACUUCCAAUAUGUCAUGGGUUCAACCCUAAAAAGCAAAAAACAAAAACAAACCAGAGACUACUCCUCUUAAAACCUUCCAGUACUGGAAGGCAAAAACUUUAACCUUGCAUGAAGAAAUAAGAAACAAUGUGCACCUCUUUGAGAUACUGCUUGAUUUCAGCACCGUUCACUAUAAGAUCAUCAAGGCGAGCAAAUGACAUGGUCCAUGCAUUCCUGGUCCAUGGAUAAAAGCCACCUGAUAAGGCCAGGAGGACUUUAAUGAGCACCCAUCUUGUAAAUAAGGAAAUCAUAGGGGACUUUCAAAAGGGAUAUUCAUAUGAAAAUUACUAGCUAAGUCUUAUAAUUAUGAAGCUGAAAGGAUAAAAUAACAGUGAAGCCAGGCCUGGUUUAUAAACAGAGACGCAAAGAUAAGGUCUUACUGAUUCACUCUUGGUGCCUCUGUUAAAGCUGUUUAGUCCACUCUGAAUACCAGCUUCGGUUCCUUAAAGGAAAUCUAAUUCUUACUUUGGGUAUCAGCUCUUUGCCCAUAUCUAACUUUUAAAUUUUAUAUAUCAUCCAUAUAUGCCUGUGUACACAUAUAUACAUAUAUGUGAAGAAGGGCAGAGAAGAGAUCUUUGAAACUUUCUCUGAUUAUUUCUUAUAUCUUUAUUUCAUCUUAACAUUUUGAAAAGCAGGCUUGGUCUCCUUCUGCAUGUGCCUAUCUUUCUACCAUGUCCAAUGCUCUAAAUAUUAUGAAUACAUGACACCCAGUCCCAGCAUUACAGCAGAACCCAUCCUCUGAAGAUCCUCCUGCCACAAUUCAAUGAGACCCUAAAUACGAUGUGGUUUUUAAUGUGUGCUGCUGGGCUUACAGAUAGCAAAGAGAGAUUCCAGAGUCCACAGAAACAAGCAGUGAACUACAAUCCAGGCAGGAGGUGGGAUGUGCAAGAUGAAAUUGAGAACGAAGCCCUGGGCCCAUUGCAAGGGACAAAAACCAAACCAAGUCUCCCCCUUUAAGCCUUGACCCUUGAAGGGGAUGACAUCGAACCUCUGGGUCAGAAAGGGGAGUGAACAACUCUGAGUGCGGCCCCCAGGAUUCUCACAGAUGGAGAAAAGUGAGCUCAGAAUCAAAGAUCAUCAGACAGCAAGAAAACGAUCCACCAUAGGUAAGAGAAAGCAGAAACAACAAACAAUGCAUUUAUUCUUCCAGGAUUUUGGUACUAGAAUUAUUAAAUGCAAAGGUUAAAAUAUUAUAUAUGAAAUAUUUAAAGAAGUCCAGGAUAGAAUCAUAAGUGUGUGAUAAGACUGUGGCGUAUGACCAGGCAGAUUUGGAAAAGAGCCAAAUAAAGGAUUAUAAAUGAAAAAUAUCAUUGUUGAAAUUAGGAAUUCAAUGGCUAGAUUAAACAGAAAGACAGUUGAAAAGAGAAUCAGUUAACUAGUGUGUCUGAAAAAAUUACUCAGAAUAGAGUACAGAAAGAUUGGAAGAUAGAAAACAUGAAAGAGGGGUUAAGGAUAGAAUGAGGUUUAAUAUACUGAUCAUACGAGGCCCAGAAAAGACUAGAGAGAAUGUGUGAAAAGGCAAUAUUCAAAGGGAUAAUGAAUAAGAAGGUCCAGUACUGGUGAGCGAUAUGACACAGACACAGAUACAGAAAGUGUCAUUUUUACCUGGCAGGAUACAUUUUUUAAAAAUCUACACUCAGGAGUUCCCAUCAUGGCUCAGCAUUAACGAACCAGACUAGUAUCCAUGAGGACCCAGGUUCAAGCCCUGGCUUUGCUUAGUGGGUUAAGGAUCCAGCGUUGCCCUGAGCUGUGGUGUAAGUUGCAGACGCCGCUCCGAUCCCAUGUUGCUGUGGCUGUGUCAGGCCAGCAGGUGCAGCUCCAAUUCGACCCCUAGCCUAGAACUUCCAUAUGCCACAGGCGCCCUAAAAAGACAAAACAAACAAAAACCAGUACACUCUGACACAUUGUAAUAAAACUGCAGCAUCCUAAACUUAAAAAGGAAGUUCCUAAAGGCAAGAAGCAGAAAAAAGGCAAAUCACCUGCAAUGAAGCAAUUAGGUCAUCAGCCAACACCUUUUAUACAGACCAGAAACCAGAAAACUAGUGUCUUCAAAGUGAUAAGAGAAAACACCUGAGAAAAAUGCAUGUGCAGCAAAACUACUUUAAGAAUGAGUGUGAAAGAAUCUUCAGAUAAACAUUGUGUAUGAACAAAAAAAUGAACCAUAUGAUGCGUGCUUUGCUUAGGCUCCUUUUAGGGCACCAUACCAGGAAUGCUUUUUUUGGGGGGGAGGGGAGAAAAAAAUGUAAGUAUGAGGUUAACAUUUAUUUAGUUGAAUGACAAGGAGGUUUUUUCGUGUUCCCUGACUCUCUGGGAAUUCAGGAAACAAUUGAGUUAUUGGUGGUUUAAAAUGUCAGAGAGCAGUAAUCACAUUGUGCUUCCCACUCUCAAUUACUUCAAGCAUUGUCUGAUUUUGAGGCUGUUCUUGAGAACUACAAUGUUUUUCUAGUAUAUAUUGUGUAGUUUUCACGUGCUCAGUAUGACUAAUGCAUUAGUCACAAGUUAGAGUAUGAGAGACCCAAGAAAAGACAGCCUUGGUCUUAGGCAUGACUUUCUUCCCUAUGCUUCAUUCCCUCACUCCAGCCAGCUAUUGCCCCUAGCCACUGAGACUGGUUCUGUUCCUGGCAGGAGUUACUUCCUUUGUAGAAUCUGCUGCUUCUUGAAGCCUUUGCUUUAGUAAAAGCUCCAUCCUGCUUCUUGGGCAGACAGCCCCCCUGCCUUUCUCAUCCCUUUUCCUAUAACCCGUUGUCUACUAGUGGGAAAAUGUAUAAGCCCAGCUGUUCGAGAAGUGAGAAAGGGAGAGACAAGAGGGGAAAUUAGAUGAGGUUGAUGCAACUUGCACAAAGAAUACUUCAAGCUAUGCUUUUUUUGUAAUCCAGAAAAGCCGGAACCAACCCAAGUCUCCAACAAUCAGGAACUAGCUAAACAAACUUUAGCAUAUGAAAAAAUGGAAUCUUACAUCACCGUGACUGAUGCUACGUGCAAAACAGUGUGGAUAAUGGCUACAUGUGGAUCUGGGGACUACAUCAAACUGUUUAAUGUCAAACAGGUAAACAGAGCACAGAGUCAGUUAUGCACAGGGGUUACAAUUAUGUCAAAAUCAUGCAGAUAGAGAGUUAGGAAUUGCAGGAGGAUCCAGAGCCUUCUAACUUAUCAGUAAAUGUAUUAUUUAAGCAUUAGUGUUUACUAGUAAAUUUGUUGUGCAAAUGUUUUUAUGUUGUUUCUGUUUCUUCUAUGGUUCUUAAAGGAGGCUACAUUUUAUUUUUUUAUUUUUUUAAUUAAAAGUUUUUUUUAAUUUUUUUGCUUUUUAGGGCUGUACCCAUGGCCUAUGGAAGUUCUCAGGCUAGAGGGUCGAAUCAGAGCUUCAGCAGCCAGCCUACCCCUCAGCCACAUCAACACGGGAUCUGAGCUGCAUCUGCAACCUACACCACAGCUCACGGAAAUACCAGAUCCUUAACCCACUGAGCAAGGCCAGGAAUCAAACCCGAGUCUUCAUGGAUACUAAUCAGAUUUGUCUCCACUUUGCCACAGUUGGAACUCCUACAUUUUAAUUUUAAAUGGUAGGCUAAAAAAAUACAGGGAAUGUAUUAGAAGACAGAAAUUAUACACUAAUUUCUACAAGGAAAAUUAACUAUAAAAAUUAUUAAAAGACAAUUGGAGUGACAUGAGUUUAGCUAAUAAGAGGUAAAGAGAUCCCUGAAGAAAAGAGAAAAAGCAAACAAUGGGGGGCAGUUAUCACUCCAAGGGCUGAAAUACAACAUUCAGGAAGAAGCUGCCUCCUCCCAGGCCUAAGCUAUAGACAACAUUGGAGAGGGUAUGGCCACGGCUCUCUGGAUGUUGGAAAAUUUCAUAGGGGCCCAUACUGGUGAAACAUUGCAGAACCUGCUCUCUGGAGUGCUGAGGAAGCCAUCCAUCAGUUGGGAGACCAUGCUCCAGAAUUCACUGCAAAGCUAUGCAAUGGGGUGCCAGGAAAGCCAUUUGCCCACUUUUGGCAUUCUACCAUGAAGCCUUCUAUGGGGGUUCCAGCCAAAGUCAUUCACAGGGAGGUGUCCAGGGAAGCUGCCUGGAGGAAGGCACCACUGGCGCUGGCCACCUGGCCCUGCAGAGAAAGCUCUGUGUGCUGCAGGAGCCUGAUAAGCAAGCCCACUGGAACCAGGAAAAGAAGCCCUUUCCUCUCACAAUGUCCUUUCCGGGCCCUCUACUGACAAAACUUACGUACCACACUAACAGUCACACACAC
rnacentral:lncRNA from 1 species